rnacentral:lncRNA from 1 species
GGAGAUUCGAAGAAAUAGUGGGAGAUAGUUUAUUUUUAAAAUAAAAUCCUUAAAAUAAAUUAAAAUAAGUCAAAAAUAAAGUUUAACUAAAAUCUUCUUCUCUCUAUAGAAAAUGUCUGCUUCCAAUCUUCUUGCUCAUACCUUGAGACCAAUCAUUUGAUUGGACCCAAUUAUAAAGAUUGACACCAAAACUUAAAGAUAGUCUUGAGUUCUGAAAAGAUGAGUUAUGUCCUAGUCCAGGAUAUCCCCUCUCUACUAGCUCAUCCCACCCCU